AUUGAACGCUGGCGGCAGGCCUAACACAUGCAAGUCGGACGGUAGCACAGAGGAGCUUGCUCCUCGGGUGACGAGUGGCGGACGGGUGAGUAAUGUCUGGGGAUCUGCCCGAUAGAGGGGGAUAACCACUGGAAACGGUGGCUAAUACCGUAUAACGUCGCAAGACCAAAGAGGGGGACCUUCGGGCCCCUCACUAUCGGAUGAACCCAGAUGGGAUUAGCUAGUAGGCGGGGUAAUGGCCCACCUAGGCGACGAUCCCUAGCUGGUCUGAGAGGAUGACCAGCCACACUGGAACUGAGACACGGUCCAGACUCCUACGGGAGGCAGCAGAGGGGAAUAUUGCACAAUGGGCGCAAGCCUGAUGCAGCCAUGCCGCGUGUAUGAAGAAGGCCUUCGGGUUGUAAAGUACUUUCAGCGGGGAGGAAGGCGAUAAGGUUAAUAACCUUGUCGAUUGACGUUACCCGCAGAAGAAGCACCGGCUAACUCCGUGCCAGCAGCCGCUGUAA
rnacentral:rRNA from 1 species